rnacentral:rRNA from 1 species
UACAGAGGGUGCAAACGUUGCUCGGAAUCAUUGGGCGUAAAGCGCGUGUAGGCGGCACGACAAGUCAGCUGUGAAAGCCCUCGGCUCAACCGAGGAAGUGCAGCUGAAACUGUCGAGCUAGAGUGCUGAAGAGGGUGGCGGAAUGCGCAGUGUAGAGGUGAAAUUCGUAGAUAUUGCGUAGAACACCAGUGGCGAAGGCGGCCACCUGGGAAGCUACUGACGCUAAGACGCGAAAGCAUGGGGAGCAAACAGG